UUUAUCAGAGAGUUUGAUCCUGGCUCAGGAUGAACGCUGGCGGCGUGCUUAACACAUGCAAGUCGAACGGGAAAUACUUUAUUGAAACUUCGGUGGAUUUAAUUUAUUUCUAGUGGCGGACGGGUGAGUAACGCGUGGGUAACCUGCCUUAUACUGGGGGAUAACAGCCAGAAAUGACUGCUAAUACCGCAUAAGCGCACAGAACCGCAUGGUUC
rnacentral:rRNA from 1 species